GACGAACGCUGGCGGCGUGCUUAACACAUGCAAGUCGAACGGUGAACGAGGGAGCUUGCUCCCUCCGGAUCAGUGGCGAACGGGUGAGUAACACGUGAGCAAUCUGCCCCGAACUCUGGGAUAAGCGUUGGAAACGACGUCUAAUACCGGAUACGACGCGGGAGGGCAUCCUCUCCGCGUGGAAAGAACUUCGGUUCGGGAUGAGCUCGCGGCCUAUCAGCUUGUUGGUGAGGUAACGGCUCACAAAGGCGACGACGGGUAGCCGGCCUGAGAGGGUGACCGGCCACACUGGGACUGAGACACGGCCCAGACUCCUACGGGAGGCAGCAGUGGGGAAUAUUGCACAAUGGGCGCAAGCCUGAUGCAGCAACGCCGCGUGAGGGACGACGGCCUUCGGGUUGUAAACCUCUUUUAGCAGGGAAGAAGCGAAAGUGACGGUACCUGCAGAAAAAGCACCGGCUAACUACGUG
rnacentral:rRNA from 1 species